AUGCUUACCAUGCAGUCGAACGAGACGGGAUGGAAUGACCCUUCGGGGGAAUGAAAUCCUAGAAAGUGGCGAACGGGUGAGUAACGCGUGGGUAACCUGCCCUAUGGAAAGGAAUAGCCUCGGGAAACUGGGAGUAAUGCCUUAUAAUAUACGAGAGUCGCAUGGCUUUUGUAUUAAACGCUCCGGUGCCAUAGGAUGGACCCGCGUCCCAUUAGCUAGUUGGUGAGAUAACAGCCCACCAAGGCAACGAUGGGUAACCGGUCUGAGAGGGCGAACGGUCACACUGGAACUGAGACACGGUCCAGACUCCUACGGGAGGCAGCAGUGGGGAAUAUUGCGCAAUGGGGGCAACCCUGACGCAGCAAUACCGCGUGAGUGAAGAAGGUUUUCGGAUCGUAAAGCUCUGUUAUUGGGGAAGAAAAAAGACGGUACCCAAGAAGAAAGUCCCGGCUAACUACGUGCCAGCAGCCGCGGUAAUACGUAUGGGACAAGUGUUGUCCUGAUUUACUGG
rnacentral:rRNA from 1 species